AUCCAGCUGACGAGUCCCAAAUAAGACGAGACAUGCGUUCUGGAU
rfam:Schistosoma haematobium scaffold319_12, whole genome shotgun sequence.